ensembl:lncRNA LINC01588 long intergenic non-protein coding RNA 1588
GUGGAAUUCUCCUCAGAUGAGACGGAGUCCAGUGGGCAGAGGGGCAACUUAGCAUCCUCUCUUUCCCCAUGUUACCACGAUGCUCUUGGCAGGGACCAUUUGAUGGGGAUUCGGAUGUCUUCCUGGGGUGCCUUGUAUGACCUCUGAAAAUAUGACCUGAAGCAGAUGGAUGCACUCACAUAAGAAACAUCACCUGUGGCCUUCAUCGAAAAUGGGCCUGCUGCUUGAAGAAGUUGGGCUCUUGGAGUUCUCUAGCACAGGGGCCAUGAAAAUCAAUGACUUCCUUGUUUGCUGACGGAGCAGAGGUAGAAUCUCUUGGUGUUUCCACGGAGAAAACACUGACCAUGAAGAGCCAAGAAAGAUGACAUGAUGAAGCCAUCAGGGGAAGCACCAAACAUCCUCAACUCUGCUCACCCAUGGUUUUCUCCCGCCCUCCCAGAGCUCCUCCUGCUGAUGGGCCCCCGACAUGAAACUGGCACUCAGAAUGAAGAAUGCCUUUUCCAGCCUCCCUCGCUGGUGGAGUCUCCGUGUUCCAGCCAAUGAAAGGAGGAAGCCUGGACAGCCUGCAGUUGAGGGGACCUGCACAAGCUCACAGGACUCUUCAUCACCAUGACACCACGCUCACCGCAAAAUAAAAAUGAUCAAACCUGUCAUGA